UCAAUAGAGAAAAAAGAAUGAACAAUUCGAGUGAUGAAGAAAUAAGAGAACUGUUGUUUUGUUGUUGUUUGUGUGUAUUUUCUUCUUUUCUGGAUCCACUUCGAAUUUCUUCAUUCUCU
rnacentral:ribozyme from 1 species